ACCAGCCUGGGCAACACAGGAUUACAGUUCUUUUUUCUAGUACCAUGCUGUCUUUAUUGUUGUAGCUUUACACUGACUCUUGAAAACCAGUAGUGUUAGUCUUACGACUUUGUUCUUCUUCUGUAUUGUGUUGGCUAAUGUGGGUCUUUUGGCUUUCCACAUAAAAUGUAGAAUCAGUUUGUUGAUACCUGCAAGGUUGCUUGCUGUAAUUUUUAUUGGGAUUGCAUUGAUUCUAUAGACCAAUUGGCUUUUUUGUUUGUUUGUUUAACAGGGUCUUGCUCUGUCACCCAGGCUAGAGUGGUGCAGUAGCGUGACCAUAGCUCACUGCAGCCUGAAACUCCUAGGCUCAAGUGAUCCUCCUGCCUCAGCCUCCAAAGGAGUGGGGAUGGGCACGUGUCACCAUGCCUGGCUAAUUUUUUUGUUUUUAUUUUUAGUAGAGACGAAGUCUUCUGCCCAGGCUGAUCUAGAUCUCCUGGGCUCAAGUGAUCCUCGCCCCUCAGCCUCCCAAAGUGCUGGGGUUACAGGCGUGAACCACCAUGCCCAGCCCAAUUGACAUAUUUAAAGUAUUGCAUCAUAACUACGGCAUAGCUCUUCAUUUUUUCAGAUCUCUUUCAUUUACUCUCAAUAACAUUUAUAGUUUUCUGUAUAGAAUCCUGAACAACUUGUU
rnacentral:lncRNA from 1 species